rnacentral:lncRNA from 1 species
CGCGCGCUUCCUCCGAGAAGCCCCAGCGAGCGUUUAACCGAUGCCCACGGCAUCUGAACAGCUCAAAGCACACGCACCUCGUGGCUUUCUCUCCCUCCCUGUCUCUCUCUCCCAGCGCCCUCACUGCUGCCCCCGGGCAUCACUUCCCAGAUGACCUACCUGUGCCCACCUGUGCCCACCUGUGUCCUGUGAGACACCUGUAUCGAGCCUCCUUGACAGGAAUGUCCAAAGCGAGACGGGCGCUUGUGGCAGAACAGAGGAAAACCCAGGGCGGCUUGGAGAGAAAUGGCAGCGGGGGUCCACCCAUGUCGGCUCGUCGCUCGCUCACACCCCGACGCGUCCAUUCGUGAGCUCACGCGAAACCCCUAACUGCCUCUGGUCCCCUGUGCCCGGAAACUCCUUGUGCUAUGGCGUCGCCGGCAAUGCCUUUCCCACCACUCUUCAUCCGAACUCGUUUUUCAAGUCUCUGCUUAGAGGUCACCACUGAGAACUAGUAAGAAUUGUAAGGAGAUCUAAUUUUGAAGCAGAAUUGGAAGUGUGCAUCCAGAGGGAGAAAAUUGGAUUCUGCUGCUUCUCGGGACUUCAAAGAGAGACAGCCACUGAGAUGGCGGGUCACCUCCUCCAGGAGGUCUUCCCUGGUCCUCCAGACCAGGCUGUGUGCUGCCUCUGCGCUGUAUAAGUUGCCUUCACUGGCAAAUGUAUCCAACUAGAAACUAAUACAUGUUUCCUUCUCCACGGUGUUUAUUUCCUUUGUGUUGUUGUUACCUUUAAACUUUUAUUUUUCAACUGGUAAUUCACUUUUUAACUUUGUCGUAUUUGUCACAUGGUCAAAAGGCUUGCAAAUAUGUAUAUAAUUGCCUUUUAAUUGUUUGCCCAUUUUUUUUUAUUUUUGAGGAAGAUUAGCCCUGAGCUAACAUCUGCUGCCAAUCCUCCUCUUUUUGCUGAGGAAGACUGGCCUGAGCUCACAUCUGUGCCCAUCUUCCUCUACUUUAUAUGUGGGACGCCUACCACAGCAUGGCUUGACAAGUGGUGCCAUGUCGGCACCCGGGAUCUGAACCGGUGAACCCCGGGCCGCCGAAGUGGAACGUGUGCCCUUAACCACUGCGCCACCAGGCCAGCCCGUUUCCCCUUUUUUAAGUGUAUUUUAACACACACGCACACACACACAUGUGACAGAAGUUUAUUUAGAACAAAGGCCAAGGGUUCAAAAGUCAACUUCAAGUGUUUUUAAGCCAUUCUAUGUAUUUUUAUACUUAGCAUUUAUUUAUUGUUUGUGAUGCUGGCUUUUCCUUUAUAAUAGCGUUAUAAAGUUUCCUGUUUAAAAUUAAAUUCAUACAUUAAUUAAUACAUAUUGCAUAUGUUAUAAAGUUUCCUGCGGAAAUUAGAUUAAUAAUUUAAUUUUUAAAUGGGUUGGCUUUAUAGUGAGUAAAUCAUAGGAUAUGAUAUGGCAAAAAUCACACAG